UACGGGGGGGGCAAGCGUUGUUCGGAAUUACUGGGCGUAAAGGGCGCGUAGGCGGUUCGAUAAGUCAGCUGUGAAAACCAUGGGCUUAACUCAUGGCCUGCAGUUGAGACUGUCGGGCUGGAGUGUGGGAGAGGAGAGUGGAAUUCCUGGUGUAGCGGUGAAAUGCGUAGAUAUCAGGAGGAAUACCGGUGGUGUAGCCGGCUCUCUGGACCGCCACUGACGCUGAGACACGAAAGCGUGGGUAGCAAACAGG
rnacentral:rRNA from 1 species